UCAUCUCCUCUCUGUUCUAUACAUUGCCAAAUGCAUUGUUGGAGCUCAACAAAUGAAGACUAACUUGGCUAGUACAGAAAUGCACACUGCCUAAGAAGCUAUUAAGUUGCAGAUCCAAUUUGCACGUGCAGCACUUAGGGUUUUCUGUAGUGCCCAUCUAUUAAAGAAUGGUCAGCUCAGGUAGAAGAUGUGUACUGGAGAGUCCGUUUGUGUGCUAGCAAUGUAUCUUAUUGAAUCUGUUCAGUUUGCUCCCGAUUGCCAAGGGCCAAGAUCCCACAAUCAGACUCCAAAGGAUUUUUGGAUACGGUGGCUUGCAAGAUGACCUGAGCCUUUUUUAGGUUGUGGACCCCGACAGG